rnacentral:lncRNA from 1 species
GGGGCGACCAUUUGCUUUUCUAGGUAUGACUAGGUGGUGGUAAUUCGAAGAGAGUCCUGGUGUGUUUGUACUAGUACUUGUCUGUCCUAGGUGCUUUACCUUUAUAUCCAUUCAACGGUACCUGUUCAUAUUUUUUUUGUUAUUUUGUUUAAUGUAAAUUAUUUGAAUGAAGUAUGUAAAAGUUUGUUGCCAACUUUUUUAAUAAACCGCAUAAACCAUAACAUUGGAGAUCUAUAGUAGGAUAUUUUUCUGGAUUGACUAUUUAUUAAUUUGCA